AGUGGCGAACGGGUGAGUAAUAUAUCGGAACGUGCCCAGUCGUGGGGGAUAACGUAGCGAAAGUUACGCUAAUACCGCAUACGAUCUACGGAUGAAAGCGGGGGACCGUAAGGCCUCGCGCGAUUGGAGCGGCCGAUAUCAGAUUAGGUAGUUGGUGGGGUAAAGGCUCACCAAGCCAACGAUCUGUAGCUGGUCUGAGAGGACGACCAGCCACACUGGAACUGAGACACGGUCCAGACUCCUACGGGAGGCAGCAGUGGGGAAUUUUGGACAAUGGACGCAAGUCUGAUCCAGCCAUUCCGCGUGCAGGAUGAAGGCCCUCGGGUUGUAAACUGCUUUUGUACGGAACGAAAAGGUCUCUAUUAAUACUAGGGGCUCAUGACGGUACCGUAAGAAUAAGCACCGGCUAACUACGUGCCAGCAGCCGCGGUAAUACGUUGGGUGCAAGCGUUAAUCGGAAUUACUGGGCGUAAAGCGUGCGCAGGCGGUUAUGUAAGACAGAGGUGAAAUCCCCGGGCUCAACCUGGGAACUGCCUUUGUGACUGCAUAGCUAGAGUACGGUAGAGGGGGAUGGAAUUCCGCGUGUAGCAGUGAAAUGCGUAGAUAUGCGGAGGAACACCGAUGGCGAAGGCAACCCCCUGGACCUGUACUGACGCUCAUGCACGAAAGCGUGGGGAGCAAACAGGAUUAGAUACCCUGG
rnacentral:rRNA from 1 species